GAGCUUUAAUUAAUUAUUUCAUUACAAAAAAAAAACAAUAUUCUCAUAAGAAAUAAUCUCAUGUAAUUGAAAUAAUAAUUUAGGUUGGGGCGACCUCGGAAAAAAAAUAAUCUCCCGAGAAAAAUUAUAUCAAGACGUACAUGUCAAAAUUAUUUCAUCAGUAUAUUGAUCCGUAUUAACGAUCAACGAAACAAGUUACCCUAGGGAUAACAGCGCAAUCCUAUUUGAGAGUUCCUAUCGAAAAUUAGGGUUUAC
rnacentral:rRNA from 1 species